GCAGUAGCCACGGUAAUACGUAGGGUGCGAGCGUUAACCGGAAUUACUGGGCGUAAAGCGUGCGCAGGCGGUUGUGCAAGACAGAUGUGAAAUCCCCGAGCUUAACUUGGGAACUGCAUUUGUGACUGCACGGCUAGAGUGUGUCAGAGGGGGGUAGAAUUCCACGUGUAGCAGUGAAAUGCGUAGAUAUGUGGAGGAAUACCGAUGGCGAAGGCAGCCCCCUGGGAUAACACUGACGCUCAUGCACGAAAGCGUGGGGAGCAAACAGGAUUAGAUACCCCUGUAGUCCCUGUCUCUUAUAC
rnacentral:rRNA from 1 species